GCGAGUGUGGCGGAAUUGGUAGACGCGAAAGCUUCAAAAGCUUUUCACUGUAGAGGUGGUGUAGGUUCAAAUCCUAUCACUCGUA
rnacentral:tRNA from 1 species